UUUGAAAUAUGUUUACAUUGUUGAAUAGCUAUAUUGAGCUAAUUAACAUGCAUUACUCCACAUACUUUUUUUUUAAUGUGGUGGGAACACUUAAAAUCUACUUUCUUAGUGGUUUUCAAGUAUAAGUACAUUAUUAUUACUAUUGUCACCUUGAACAUCUCUUUUAAGUUUGCUCUGAUAAACUGAAGAUGUUUGUUACAACAUGGAAAAAUAUUGUGUGAGCAUUUUGAAAUUUGUUUAGAAGUCAAUACCAAAAUUAAUGAAUUAGUUUUCAGUACAAUGCUUAGUCUGGGUUUUGGUUAGAUUCAUAUCAAGAAUAAAGCAGGUAAGGAAAAAAAUGUUUUAGGUUUUUCCUCCCCUCCACCAAGAAGAUUGGAGAAAGGUCUAUGUUUUGAAAGCACUAGAAGCAAUUGGAGCUCCAGACUGGCCUUGUGGUUAAUAUUUACUGUUUAUCUGCUGAGACCUAGACAGAAUCGGCCAUCACCUUGUCCUUUGAAAGAUAAAUGAUUAUGAGCAAGAGAGGGCAGGGAAGAGGGAGAGUGGGGUUUGGAGCAGCAAAGAAGGGGCAAAGUGUUACGGAGAAAC
rnacentral:lncRNA from 1 species